rnacentral:rRNA from 1 species
GGUGCAAGCGUUAAUCGGAAUUACUGGGCGUAAAGCGUGCGCAGGCGGUUUUGUAAGUCUGACGUGAAAUCCCCGGGCUUAACCUGGGAAUUGCGUUGGAGACUGCAAGGCUAGAAUCUGGCAGAGGGGGGUAGAAUUCCACGUGUAGCAGUGAAAUGCGUAGAGAUGUGGAGGAACACCGAUGGCGAAGGCAGCCCCCUGGGUCAAGAUUGACGCUCAUGCACGAAAGCGUGGGGAGCAAGCAGGAUUAGAUACCCUGGUAGUCCACGCCCUAAACGAUGUCUACUAGUUGUCGGGUCUUAAUUGACUUGGUAACGCAGCUAACGCGUGAAGUAGACCGCCUGGGGAGUACGGUCGCAAGAUUAAAACUCAAAGGAAUUGACGG